rnacentral:rRNA from 1 species
CCUACGGGUGGCAGCAGUGGGGAAUAUUGGACAAUGGGCGAAAGCCUGAUCCAGCCAUGCCGCGUGUGUGAAGAAGGCCUUCGGGUUGUAAAGCACUUUCAGUGGGGAAGAAAGCCUUGGGGCUAAUACCCUCGAGGAAGGACAUCACCCACAGAAGAAGCACCGGCUAACUCCGUGCCAGCAGCCGCGGUAAUACUGAGGGUGCGAGCGUUAAUCGGAAUUACUGGGCGUAAAGCGCGCGUAGGCGGUCUGAUAAGCCGGUUGUGAAAGCCCCGGGCUCAACCUGGGAACGGCAUCCGGAACUGUCAGGCUAGAGUGCAGGAGAGGAAGGUAGAAUUCCCGGUGUAGCGGUGAAAUGCGUAGAGAUCGGGAGGAAUACCAGUGGCGAAGGCGGCCUUCUGGACUGACACUGACGCUGAGGUGCGAAAGCGUGGGUAGCAAACAGGAUUAGAUACCCCUGUAUC